UUUUUCCUUCCAUCAUUCACUCGGUUAGGAGUUUCCGGGCCUUUUUUUGUGGGCGGACGGGGCAACCGGUUACCGGCUGCUGGCCUCCAUCUUUCCUUCCUAUUAUUAUGGAUCGCUUCCCAUUACGUCCAAGUUUCUGGUUGAUUCAUCAAUGCGGCAGCUGGUCAAAGCGGUGCCCCCGAGCCCCCUACCCCAUCUCUCUUCCAGUCUUCUUCCCUAUUGCCGCAUCCUCAUUCUUCCCUAGGGCCAUCGCCCUCUUUUCCCUGUCUGGCCGCCGAGGCGGUUGAUGGCGUGGAGGAGGAGCUCGCAUGGGAUGGCCAUGAGGGUCCUGCGUGCUGGAGGGAUUGACUGGCCGGCCCUUGCUGCCGUGCCCAGGCCACAACCUGAUGUGUCGUGUUUCCAUGCCGAUCUGCGGCCAGGUCUUCACGUGCGACAACGAUUCGGCUGGGAAGGGGCGCUGAUGAGUCCUUGAGAGAAAUCAUGGGUACCAGGAUGUUGCUACGCCUCCUCUCCAUCCCGUCGUUCAUGUGGGUCUUCUCCCCCUUUCCUCUUACUAAUUCCAUUUUUCCGAUCUAUUCGUGAGCCUAGGUUAUUCUUCCCCUCUCUCUUAUCGAUUCCAUUUUUAUCUGUAUCUUUUGGUUUGCCCAGGUGCUGGCUUAGAUUAUUGUGUUCUCAGCAUACGUUCUAAGGGAUCAAUUUAUAUUUGAUUUCUGCAUCUUCAAAACUACAACUUCUACCGUAGUUCAUAUCAACCAAUACUAAAAAUAAUAUUUUACAGGGAAACCAAUAGGGUGACUAUGCAGCAAUCCUUGGUGAAAGAUUUGUUGUCCGGAGGGUAUCAAAGAAAAAUCAUUGCCCGUGUCGCCCAAAUCUGGCAAAAAUUAUUCGAGUUGGACUUUAUUAUUGUUAAUAAGAUGUACCUUCUAAAUAUUCAGCUACUUCACUUACUUAUUAUAUCACUCAUAAACACAAUGCAUACAAUUAGCUACAGGAAAUCAUCUUAGCAUUUGUGAAUGCCCACUCCAUUAUUGAAGAAAAAUAAGUGAACACUUGUGUUUUUUUGCCGACAAACAUGCACUAAUUUCCAAGUUCAGAAAAUGACUACAGGAAGGUUCGAUCUAAUAUCUUUUGUUGUUGCUAGGUUCCAUGGUUCCAUCUACAGGUUUGAGUCUUUUGUUGUUGCUGCAGCGCGCCUAAAGUUUUUACUCUGUUCGCAUACAAGGAGAAUUUGAUUGAUGUUCUGCAGUCCCAACACCGUUCUAUCAGAUGUUGCUGCACUGGUGAUAACUGUUAAUGGAUAUUUCACAUUUCACUCCGUCGAAGACAAAUCAACAGCGAAGGAGGCAUAUAUGCUAAAAGAUGCUAGGCUGCAAACGCAAGCAUGUUCCCUCUAGGUAUUCCAAGGUGUUAAGUGAUUUUCUACAUAGAGUGCUACAAAGUAUGACUUGGAUUGUUCUUGCAAAUUGCUCUGUCAAAAGAAGCAAUUUGGAAUCUACUAGAAUGAUAUAUUAUCCUCAUAUCAGGACCUUAGAGGCAAGAAAAAAGAACACAUUAUGUUUGGCAUAUGAUUCUCACUUCAGUUUUUCAGUUUAUGAAUUUCUGUAAUUUUGAUGAUUCUUUGUUUCAUGACUUUUAAAGAGCAUAAUGAUUGCAACUAUUUUCAUACCAGGUUUUGGAAAUGUGUUGCUGGUGUUUUAAGCCCAUCGCUGCCCAGUGCAGAGCAUGCCUCCAGUGAUCUUUGAUGCUAAUUUAUAAAACAAGGUGUCGCAAAGGAAGUGGGUUCGAUGGAGAGGAAGUUGGUGCUGGGUUUCCUUGAAUUGGUUGCUAUGCGUCUCCUUCUCACAAACAUGAUGUUCCUUGGGUGAUGUUAAUUUGGUUGAAAGAUUAUUCAGACUGUUUACCACAUGCUAUUUUUCCAAAUGGGUCGUUCUGGUGGCGAGACGUGUGCAGUUUGUAUAAUAUUUUCAGAGGAAUCACUCAUUGUUCAGUCAAGGCUGGAGACACAGUAUUAUUAUGGAAAUAUCUCUGGACUGGAAACGAUAUCCUGCAGCAUUAGUUAUUGCAUUUAUUCUCCUAUUCGGAUCAAGAACAUGUUUGUGUUGCAGAGUAGUUGGAGAAUAAUGACCCAGCCAUGCACUUUGCCGUGGUCUCUGGAAGCUCAUGAGGAACUGCAUAUCUUCGACGAGCAUGUCAGCAAUAUUCAGAUGGAGGUGUUGCAGCCAGAUGAAUGGAGUUAUGCGUGGGGAGCUACGGAUUUCAGAGCACAGAAAUACUAAAAGUUUGUAUUCAGAGAUGUAUGUCCUGUUCCUUUUCUUCCUAAGAUUAGGAAAACGAAAUGUAUGAUGUAGCACAGAUUUUUCGCCUGACUUCUGACUAUGGAUAAACUCAAUACCCGAGACAUGUUGUUUGGAGAAAUUGCCCUAUUCCCAAUGUUAAUUUUGUUAUCUAUCAGUUCCACAGGGAGACAAGUGACCAUCUGUU